rnacentral:ribozyme from 1 species
CCAUUGUGUCUACCGUAAGGUAGACGAAAUGGCUAAGGGAAACACUAGAAAACCCCCUUAACAGGGAGUGAUUAUGGGUAAAUUAACUUAG